GGGGCAAUAGGGGUCGGGGGGGGGAGUGGCUUGGAGGGUGCAGUGCGGCGCUGGAGAGAGGGAAGUCAAUAAGUACAUAGCAGCAACAGCGCCUUCUGUGGUAGAUACUGGUCACUGCAAGGGCCUUUUCCGAUUGGGCAAUUAUCAGAAAAAUGUAACCCGAGGUAAAUCAGAAAACAAAUAUAAGGUAAGAUGUACCCAGUUAUUUGCAGAUUGGACAUUGAGGUAUACAUUUAGGCAAUAGUUUUUCUUUUUUUUUUAGUUCAUGGUAAAAGCUGACCACUUUCAGGUGAAAUGAAACUUCAUUGAGUUCCUCAGCGACAUUUCAGGAAUCCGGUUUUGUUUUCACUUCAAUCGAAAACGAAGACCAGAUUUAACACUCAGCAGCAUGAUGUCAGUCGCUGCGGUAUAGUGCAGCAACACACCCAGAACCCAUGUAGACACUAAACACCUAGAAACACAUGGACAAACAACGCAACGCAACGCACACUGCUCUAGAUCUGAGCAAACGACUGUGAGCGACUACAGCUGCAGAGACAGACUGACCUACAAACAGACAGACCGACAGACAGACAGACAGACCUGCAAACAGACCGACAGACAGACAGGCAGACAGACAGAGAGACAGACAGACUGACCUACAAACAGACAGACAGACAGACAGACAGACAGGCAGACAGACAGACAGACUGACCUACAAACAGACCGACAGACCGACAGACCGACAGACAGACAGACAGACUGAUCUACAAACAGACACUACUGGUGGUGGAUAAGUACUCUGAUACCGUCCUGAAAAGUAAAACACCCUCGGAAAACUGUAUUUUGAUCCUGCUAUAAUCAUCCACCUCAGAUAAAAUCUGUAGUAGGAAAAGUACUACUCGCUUAGCUCAGUGUUGAUUACCAAACUGCCAUUCUCCCUUAGCGCCAGCAGGCUCAACAAUAGGAGUACUGUCAAAAGUAGCAAUGUAAAGUUACAAUACAAGUAGUACUGAGUACGUUUAAGUCUUUGAUAAAGGGUAGAAAAAAGUUGAACAGAUAAUCAG
ensembl:lncRNA